rnacentral:lncRNA from 1 species
UGUAAAAUUAAUUUUUUUAUAUAGUUGCUUGGGUUUUUUUUGGUCUGCAUAUUUAAUCUUGUUUUGAUUUAUCAUAGUUUUUAAAAGGUUAGAGACCUUAUUUUUUGCUCCUGAUAGGUAUUGAUGUAUGUGAAAUGUAUAGAGUCUUUCAGUUAUCAGAUAAUGUCAAGAUAUUUUGUAAACAUGGACCAUUUAACCAAGUUAAGUCUCAUUUGCAGAAUAUGUGGAGAACAUAUAACGAAAGACUCAGUUGUUGUGUGUAAAUAUGCUGAAAGAAUUGAAAAUUCAUUUUAUAUUAACACCAGCAUUGACAAUAAAAAUAUUCACUCACAAAAAAUGUGUAGAAGGUGCUAUAUUAUUAUGAGAAACAUUGAAAAAGGUUCUAGCACCAGUAUUAAAGUAGUUGAAUGGCCAUUACCAUGUGCAAAAAAUUAGUACAAAAAAACAAGUGUUCCUGUUUCUCCAAAGUUUCUGGAAGAAAAGCUAAAAAGUGUAAACCUGGUCGGCCAUGUAAAAUGGAACAAAAUCAGAAGAGAUGGACCAGGCCAAUCAUUAAUAGCUUAAUUGCUAGUAUACCAAAACAGACUUUGCGUUUAAAUGCAAUUGAUAUUGAUCCUGUAUCAAAUCCCCAUAUAGACUUAUGUAUAUGCAAGUUAUGCAACAGCAUUAUGUAUAAGCUACUAAUAUUAAAAGAGUGUCAGCAUUCUUUUUGCUCUGUGUGUUUAUUCAGGAAGAUUGAAAGAAAGGUGGAAACAGAAGCAAAAUGCUUUAUUUGUAAUCAAAACAUUCCAUUAAAUACAAUUUUAUAUAACACAAUUGUUAGAGCAAGUCAUGUAUAUACACAAUAUAACACAAUUGUUAGAGCAAGUCAUGUAAAUUAAAAUGUGCAGUUAAAGACAAUCAGCUUUAAAAAAUUGCACGAAGCAAUUUGUAUUGGUGAACAAUUAUUACCAACUCAGAUUUGAAAAAAAACUCAUGAUGGACUUGAUACAACUCUAGCUGAUGUAUUUUUAUUAAAAGAAAAUGAUGCUAUACCACGGAUUGUAGAAGAUGCUGCAUUACAUGUUAUAAAGCAAAAGCUCGUUACCUCUGAGUCAAACUUAUUUGCAUUUCUUUCUGGAGGACCAAGGUUGGCUUAAAACCAAAGAUAUAAAAUGUGCAUCAAAUUAAAAGCAACGAAAAGUAGCUAAAUCCUGGUCUGGAGAGGAAUGGGUAGUUUGUAAUGCUCCGUUUAACUUUCUUCUUAAAGACUCCAGUAAUUUAUUUGAAGUAAAAAAUGCUCCUUGGGGAUACAUCAAAGAGAUUCCGUCACAUAUAAUAAACAAACUCAAUCUUCUAAAAAGCAAAAAUUUGCUACAGCAAUCCAAUAUAAAAAAUGAUGAAAUUCACAUCAACAUUGAUGGUGAUUAUGGCGGUGGAACCUUUAAGAUGUGUUAUCAAAUUGUGAAUGUUGAUAAGCCAAAUGCCAGAAGAAACACAAAUAUUUUUAGUAUUUUUGAAGCAAAAGAAUACAAACCAAACCUUAUUGUGGGUCUUUCAAUGUUCACACAACUAGUCAAUUGCAGUCACUGUGUUGGAAUGAUUACGAGUUUUUAUGCUCAGCAUAUGGAAUUACUGGUGCAAAUGGUCGACAUGCUUGCUUGUUUUGUCAUAUAACUCGUGCAGAGAUAAAAAAGCCAGAGGCUCAACAAAAACACAAUUGUUCCAGUCGCUCGCUGGAAACGCUUGAUAUUCACCACUUUUCAAUAUUCCUUUAACACAAGUUGGUAUUCCAUUAAUGCAUAUCUCAUUGGGAAUUUAUCUAAAAAAUUUUAAUAUGCUGGAAGAUAGCUGUCAUAUUAUAGAUAUAAAAAUUGCAGCUAAAAUGUGUUUAAAAAAUCAAACUGUAAACAACAAAAGUUUUGAUGAAU